rnacentral:rRNA from 1 species
GCUAAUUCCGUGCCAGCAGCCGCGGUAAUACGGAAGGUCCGGGCGUUAUCCGGAUUUAUUGGGUUUAAAGGGAGCGUAGGCCGGGGAUUAAGCGUGUUGUGAAAUGUAGACGCUCAACGUCUGCACUGCAGCGCGAACUGGUUUCCUUGAGUACGCACAAAGUGGGCGGAAUUCGUGGUGUAGCGGUGAAAUGCUUAGAUAUCACGAAGAACUCCGAUUGCGAAGGCAGCUCACUGGAGCGCAACUGACGCUGAAGCUCGAAAGUGCGGGUAUCGAACAGGAUUAGAUACCCUGGUAGUCCGCACGGUAAACGAUGGAUGCCCGCUGUUGGUCUGAAUCGGUCAGCGGCCAAGCGAAAGCAUUAAGCAUCCCACCUGGGGAGUACGCCGGCAACGGUGCAACUCAAAUGAAUUGACGG